CCCCGUGUCCCCAUCCCCAGGUUCAAGGAUUUCUAUGAGAUGGAGCCCCACAAGUUCCAGAACAAAACCAACGGCAUCACCCCGAGGCGCUGGCUGGUGAUGUGCAACCCCGGCCUGGCCGAGGUCAUCGCGCAGCGCAUCGGGGAGGAUUUCGUGUCCGACCUGGACCAGCUGCGGCGGCUGCGGGAUUUCGUGGACGACGAGAGUUUCAUCCGGGACGUGGCCAAGGUCAAACAGG